ACACCCCUUUCUGUCAGAGACCAACCCUCAAACCCUGGUAGCCGCCUCAAAAUCACACCACUAUCCGGUGGCGGAGCCACCUCCAAACACCCCCCAAACUAACACCCCAUGACCCUCUCAUUUCCCUUUUUCCAAAUCCCCACCCCGUUUCCCUCGAACAUGGCCAGAACUCUUCGAAUCUCAAAUCUAGGGUUCAAGCCCUGAAAGUCAUCGAAGUUCAUUCAUGCAAAGACAUCCCUCGAGGUUUUCUUAGCGUUCAUGGUCAUUUUGGUCCUGAAAUAAUGUUUUUCACUUGUUCUUGGAAAAGAACAAGCGGAUGACAUUAUUUGGGGAUUAAAUUAGAAGGUUAGUCAAGUUAGAGCCCUGAAU
rnacentral:lncRNA from 1 species